UUCGCUCAUUUUAAAGGUGGGCACCUUAGACUUUUUAGCCGCACAUGCAAGAAAUCAAGAUAUUUUUGCUUGCUUAGUUUUUCCGGUCAAUUUUUUCAUCUCACUUCAAUUUAUUUUCUCAACCUUAUAAAACUUGUGGGUGGAAGAUGGCAGCUCUUUUAUUUGUUUUGGCUCAGUUUGGAAGCUUCAUACCGAUUAGAAACUAUGCAAAUUGGGUAAGUUUUUCUACAUCUAAUACAUCUACAUAGUUCAGAGUAACUAAUUUUGAUUUUGUCAAUAGCUAAAAAGACAGAACAUGCCAUAAUUUUCCACUGUGUUAUAGUUUCAUAUCUAAGAUUUAGAUACAGGAUAACUUCGACAUUUUUCUUAGUGUUCUGUGAAAUUUGAAACUGAUUGGAUGAUAUACGAGUUUCUCGCUAAGUUUAUGAAUAAAUUAUAUUUUCCAGGUUGUAAAGGGGUGGUAGAAAAAUAUUGUCAUAAUUUGUUGUGACCUGAAAAUUGAGUAUGGUAUAGGUCAUAACUCAUUUCUGUUUCUGUCCAGGUUGCUACAGCUGUUCUUCAAAACUAUAAGGACAAUACAAGAUUGCAUCUAAUAUAUGCUAAUUUUCCACAUGAGGACAUUCUUUUGAGGUAAUUUAACGUAAUUUUAUCUUCCAUGCCAUUUGAUUGGAGAAUAUUGCUGAUUGUUAAGUAAGAACAAGAUAUAAAAUGAUAAAAGGUAAUGUUACAGAAAAAGUUGAACUUCUAUCAAACAUCUUUAUGAGCUGAGUUGUAUAGAAUAUGAAGAAUUAUUUGUCUUAAGAAGUUACUAUAUUUAGCACAUGAUCAUAAAAAGAUUUCCAAGAAAACCUAUAUUAGUCUUCUUUGAAUGUAGCGCAGUCGCUUAACAUAUAAAUUGCAAGAGUUAUAACUCAAAUAUGUUUGCAAAUAAUAGAAAAAUAACAGUCCAAUUCUAGGAACAAGACGUAUCGGUUGAAUUCAAAGUUCAGAUAUCAUUUGUCUGCAAGGAUUGAGACUCAAGCCCAAAACUAUCAGCAGACAAUCCCAUAAUUAUUAGUCCACUUGAGAUAUUUCAAGUGCAAAAAUCAACUGUGUUGGCCAGUCCAACAUUGCAUAUCAUUCUCCAAUUUACAUGAUCAUGCAUUUCAUAGACUGCAGUAGCUAAUUAUCUUUUGCCCACCAUAUUUGUGGUUUAUACCAUACUAAUGUUUGAUUGUUCCGCACUAACUUAUAAUUAUUUGGAAUAGCGGUAGUAAGUUACUAUCUAAAACAAUAUGAAACAGAUGUUGUUAUUUGUGAAAUUGAGGAAUUAUGCUUAUUAGAUAAAAGUUGCAUAUGCAUUUGUUUUUUUUGCAAUAAAAAUAUUUGGCAUACAUGUCCAAACAGGAAGUGGUAUGCGUAUAAAUGAAUAAUGUUCUCUUUGUUUGGCCAACAAGAUGAGGUGGUUUCAUUUGUUCUUAAUGUUCUUUUUAGAUUUUAAUAUCUGUCUUUUUUCUCUUUUGCUUAAAUGAGCUUAACAAAAGCAUGGUUAUGUUGUUUCAGUUUCUUCACAGUUUAGUAUCUUCCUCCACAGGGAGAUAUUCCAAAAAGAUGGCUUAUAACCUCGAAGGACAUUCAAAAGGGAUGUUUUUCCCAGUGAAGUAUGUCCGUAGGCCUUUUUGUGGAAGCAAGUUGAAUAAUGAGAGUAAGAUAAACAUUGGACUAUGUUGCAAAUACAUGUGUCAUAAUUUUUUGGAUUCUUAAUUGGAUGUAUUUAGUAAGACGUGUUGAUACGUUAUCAAUAUAAAUAUUUGAUCAGAUUAAUAUUAAGAAACAAAGAUGAAAUUGUUUUCCCAAUAAACCUUUUUAUGCAGUUU
rnacentral:lncRNA from 1 species